rnacentral:rRNA from 1 species
UAAUACGGGAGGUGCGAGCGUUAAUCGGAAUUACUGGGCGUAAAGCGAGCGUAGGCUGUUAAUUAAGUCGAAUGUGAAAUCCCCGGGCUCAACCUGGGAACUGCAUUCGAAACUAUUUAACUAGAGUAUGGGAGAGGAAAGUAGAAUUUCCGGUGUAGCGGUGAAAUGCGUAGAUAUCGGAAGGAAUACCAGUGGCGAAGGCGGCUUUCUGGAACAAUACUGACGCUAAGGUUCGAAAGCGUGGGGAGCAAACAGGAUUAGAUACCCUGGUAGUCCACGCCGUAAACGAUGAGAACUAGAUGUUGGGAGGAUUGGCCUCUCAGUGUCGCAGCUAACGCAAUAAGUUCUCCGCCUGGGGAGUACGACCGCAAGGUUG